GCAACUCGUGCACUUUGCAUGCGCCAUUGCAGCUGCAAAGCACGUCACCAAACAAACCCUUGCCCAAGAGUUUUUGGCUUCACGGUUUGUCACUUCCGUGGUCCGACUUCGGGGGCCUCUGCGGCAAUCAUCGUUUGGGCUGAGAGAUGUUCAAUCACUGCAUAGCGUUUGAAGAAGGCUGAGCAAGGGAACAAAAUUAAAAUGGAAAUGGCAUCAAUCACGUUUGACUUGGCUGUGAUGGAGAGGCUCAAAAUUCAUCACAACACCCUGCUGGGCGUGCAGUCCUUAUUGAACCAAUGUACAGAAAGUAUCUUCAAAAACACGACACGCUUUUGCAAUUCGCGGCCCCUUAAUGGCUUUCGGCUUUUACCCUCGCCGCUGCUGCAAAAGUUAAUUAGCGAGACGCACUGCAGGCCGUUCGAUCUCGAAUUUUUGAGACUGUUGCUCAACGAGCAAACCACCGAUUUUGACUUCCAGUCAGUGCCGGAAGAGCACUGGGACGUUGUUUGGCGACAUAUUAGAGAGAACUGUUCCCAAAUCCAGAGAGUGAAACUGCCGGAGAAUUUUUCCGGUCGGGACGUUUUCAAUGAUGUGCUAAAAAUGAAGCGUCUCACGCACAUUGGCGAAUUUGGAUUUGCACUCAACGCAACAGAUGUCCUGCAGAUUUGCAAAACAUUUCCGCGUUUGAAGUCCAUGCAUCUCGUUGUGGUGAGGCAUUUCUUGGACAAAAACAGCCACUUUCCUUUGAUCCAUUUAGGAAACUUGACUGGUCCUCAGCCUGAAAAUUGAGUUUCAAUACCCCCAUUCAUUCGAGGAAGAAGAGCAGAUAAAAGUGCAAGCAAUCCGAGCAAAAGUUCUAUUUUUCUCCUGUUUACCUCAAUUGCGGAAGUGCACUGUGGACGUUCUCUACCGCGUCUCCGACAACUGGGACGACGCUUUACUUAGCUCACUGUCGCCUGAACGUCCAUACAGAUUAAAUAGGGUAACGCUCGACUAUCACUUAAGUGCGGAAAACUGGCCGAAUGAUGUCGAGGUGGAAGAGUUGCACUUGAUUUCAAGAUUUAAAAUGAACAAAAACGUGCAGAAAAUUUUCAAGCUGAAAAACGUGAGGUCAGUUGUACUGGAAGAAUUCCAUCCGCUGGCAAUUGAGCUAAUUUUAGACCGAUUUGGAAAAGGUUUGACGUCGUUGACGAUUAUUUCUUAUUCUAAAUGGAGUGAUGAUGGGCCCACUCUUGAUAUGGUCAAAAUUUUAUCGACUUGUCCGAAGCUGAAAUAUUUUUGUUAUAAUGGAAAUUAUCGUCUUAUUAUGACGAAUUCAAGACAUAAUUUAUGCAAAUUGCAAUUUUUGGAACUAGAGAGUUUAUCGUUUUUCGGAAGCGAUUGCUACAGUUUAAGUGAUAGGGCUGAUAGUGAUAUAGUGCAAAUUAUCUUACACCAAGCACCGAAUUUAAAAACUUUUUCCUGUAGUAGUUUAGCCAACUCGGAUAUCUCCUACAUGGCACACGAACAGAGAGUUUGCAAAUCACUACAAAAUUUAGAAAUCCUGUGCCCUAGUUUAGAAGAAAGUGAAAUUUUGCUAUUUAUUCAAUAUUUAGAAAAUUUUAUCCUUCAAAUACCAACUUUGUUAGCUAUAAAAAUACUGUUCAUUGGUGAACGUAGCGGCAUUUUUCUUAGGCAGAACGCCGGUUUUGUUGAGUUCUGCAACAUUUUGCCAGCUUUUAAAUGUGAAUUCGAACCUUUUGAUGCAUUUUGAAUUAAAUAUUUUUCUUAGUUGUUUCAUUUUCAGAUCAAUAUAAGAAGAGAUUUUUUAUUUCACCAAAAUUAUAUUUAAGCGAACCACAAAAAAUAUAUAGAAACAAGGAAAUUUUUUCAAAAUUCCAAUACAAAUAAUCAAACCAGACUUUACGUCUGCGGUCAUGGGUUCAAGGUUUUUUGAAAUGCCAUUGUUAUCAGCAAAUUUUCAAUCUUGGUACAUUUAUUUCCUUAUCCUUGAACUAAAAACUAAUAAAUUGAAAUAACUCCAAUUUUAUUAUAUCAACUGAAAUAGCAUAUUCUAUUAAAUAUUGUGCUUAUAAUAAUGACCCAAAUAAUCUGUAUAAUAAAAAAAGAUGUAUAUUGAGGUGAUUAUUGAGGUAAUAUGUAUUCAAUAUAAUUAAUACGUGACAAUUCAAAAGCAACUAAUUAUUAAAAAAGAAAAAUUGAAAACAACAAUAUUGUUAAUUUCUAAAGCUCUAUAAACUAAUCGCUAAAUUAUAAUAAUUCCUCCAUGUUAUAAUUCAGUAACUUUAUCUUCCAAAGAUUCUUCAACCUUUUCGCCUUCGUCCUUUGAUCCAGCUUCCACAUUUGGUAUCGUCAGGACAUCACCUGAAUCACCAUUGACCUUCGGAACGUCACCUUCCUGACCAGUUGUUUUCCCUACUUCAUUUAUGGUAUUCUCUUGUUCACCUUCUUCAGGCUUUUUUUCUUCAGAGACGUUCUUUGUCUCGUCAUGUGCCUCAAUUUCAGGCUCUUCCUGAUCUGGUGGCGGUGGAUCUGCUUCUUUCUCCAGCUUCUUCUCAUCGGCAUUGUCGGGACCAGAAUUCACAUUUUCCAUUGACGACUUCUGUGGCAAGUCCUCUUCUUCCUGCUUUUCUGUAUUUUCUAGCAACUGCCUUGCUUCAGUGGCUUCAUUUGAUUCAUGGUUCAUUUCAGCUUCAUUAUUAUCGUCGUCGUCAGGGAUGCUUAUCAAAUCGUGGCUCGAUGUGUGAUUCCUCUGCGUUAUCAGAGCGACACCAUUAUCUUCCUGCUCUUCUGGAAUUGUCUUCAUCAUUUUCAUAUUCUUGAACUCACAAGCGUUUUCGACAUCAUCUGUAUCAUUGUCACUUACAACUUCCAACGAAUUUCUGGGUUUUCGUGCAAUUUGGUUAAACGUACGACGCGCCCGUUGGUCCGUGAAAAUGCAGAAAAUCAACACCAUAACACCCUUAAAGGAGUUCACUAUGAGGGAAGUGCUGACGAGUGUUUCGUUUCCUUUGCAGACCCAGGCGAUAAACUCUAACAGCCAGAAAAUUCCUAGGCCGAUGAAUAAUUUCGAAUAAAUGGUGAACCUAUAAUAAAUUGUUGGCAUUAAAAAAUUGCUGAAGCAGACAUCGCGCAAUUAAACUACUUGCCUCCGUAUUUCCUUUGCUACUCUUAACGUACGUCUAUCACGAUUCUUUAUAUUGCAAAGUGACAAUACGAAACAGGCCGAAUUUCCAAGCAUCAAAAGAAGAACAGGCCCCAGGUAGUAGAGAAUCGCUCCUAAAGGUAGCAGAAUUAAAAAAAAAAUUGAGAAUUAAUUUAAAUGGUUCACUUACCCUCUCCUGUUCGUGUAAUAACGCAGCUAUUCGCGAUUCCCGUUGAUAGAACACCUUCUUGACCUGUCAGUAUUGCAACUAUUAAAGUCAUCAAAGCAGGGCAUAGCCAGCAAACUACUGAUAAAUAUUUUUGCUUCGUCGUUAUUGGUAUUGCCCUGAAAGUAGGUGAAUUGAGGCUGGAAAUCGAUUUACAAAUAACAAAGUAUUUUUAUUUUUAACUAUUAAAUUUAAUAUGAUUACCCCAGCACCAUGAAGCAUUCCAGACUCUUUGCACUGAGCCAGAAAAACGCAGCAAGACUGAAGUAGUAUGAAAUCAAGCCUGAAACAAAAAUUUAAGGAUUUUCAUAGCUUUAAUUAUUAUCGAUUUAUUCGAUUUUUUCUGUCGAUUUGCCGCUUAGAAAGAAAAUAUAAAUGUGACAUAAAAAAAUAAAACUACAGUUGUAAUAUACUUUUUAGACGUACCAAAAACAGUGCAAAUAAACCCAUUUGGCGAGUCUACUAAUCCGGUCACGAGCAUUGCAGUGUACUGCACCAAUAAAGAAACGCAGAGAAGGAAGAUGCACUGUCCGUGAUAAUUUUUAAUUUUCCUGAUGGUGGCGUAGGUAUACACCAAGGAAAAGAGACAUGUAAAUGAUAAGAAAUAGCCAACUUUUGACACAGGUCCGUUAAUUUUCUCUAGGCUAGAUAAAGUUGCACCUGCAGCAACUGUUUUAAUUUUUUGUGCCUGUGUAGUGGUUUUUUGCUUCGUCGUGGUUUUUGGCUCUUCCGUGAUUGUUUCCCCACCAUAUUCAUAUUCAUGAUUAAUAUCUUCGGUUGUUACUGCUAAUACUUUUGCUGUCUGUGCCUCAAUGGAAAUUUCUGUAGUUGAAAUCGAGGUUCGCGUUUCUACUCCAUCAGUAGCCCCAUCUCUUUCUCUCUCAGAAUUUGAGGUGAUCUCUUUUUGUUUUUCAUCCCCGGAUCCAUUGACUUCUUUGUCUUCUGCAUUAGCAAUAGUCUGUUGAGUUGCGGUCUUAUCUUCGUUGUUUGAAUCAGUUGAAUUUUGUUGCUGCAGCGUUGUAAAAUUUUCAGACUCGUUCACAAAAUCUAAUUAAAUUUAAUCAAAAUUAACAAUUAUAAUGUUCAAUCGUACAAAAAUAAAAAAAUAAAUAUUGAACUUACCGCAGGGGACGUUAUUUGAGCACAGACAUGCAGUGUAAUUUUCACCAUGACGCCAAAAUGUGGUAUUUAUAAACCGUAAUGUAUCAUUGUAGAUCAGAUUUUCACCUGCAAGUCUGACCGCAGAUUGAGAAAAUGUUAUCGGUUCCGCAUCUUCUGGACAAAUCGGAUCAGCCAAUAUGGUUUGAAUUAAAACCAAGAAAAUUAUCCACACAGGGCGUAGCCAUGUGGCAAACGCCAUUUCAA